rnacentral:ncRNA from 1 species
GAGGUUUAGAGGUUGAUUUUGUCUCUUAAAUUAAUUAAUUGGUAAUAUUAAAUAUAAGUUUUUGCGUGGUUUAUUUAAAUCUAAAAGGUUAAUUUAAAAUUAUUUGUAGUUUUUAAUUUUGGUUUUUACAUAAUUGUAGAAUCAGUUAAUUAAUUGAGAUCUGUUUAAAGUUGUGCCAGCAAACGCGGUUACACAAUUGGGUCGAGUUAAUUUUUUUGGUUAGUAUUAAUUUAUUUAUUUGGGUAUUUUAUUUAUAUUUUAAGGUGAAAUUUUUAAUUUAAAUUAUAUUAUCUUGGUUUAAGAUUAUACGAAAUUUAGAAUUUAGACUAGGAUUAGAUACCCUAUUAUUCUAAAUGUAAAAUUUAUCCUUAGUAUUAAUAGUUAAGAUCUUUAAAUUAAAAAAAUUUGGCGGUAAUUUAGUCUUUUCAGAGGAACCUGUCCUGUAAUUGAUGAUCCACGUUGAAUUUUACUUUAAUUAUUGUUUGUAUAUCUCUGUCAUUGAAUGUUUUAUUAGAAUAUUUUCUUUAAUUAUUAAUUUGAAUAAUGUCAGGUCAAGGUGCAGCUAUAUUAAAGGUUGAGAUGGGUUACAUUUAAUUUAUUUAUUGGAUUAUAAAGUUGGAAUACUUAUAUAAAAUAGGAUUUGAAAGUAAUUAUUAUUAUUUUUUGAUAAUGAUUUUAGCUCUAGAUUAUGCACACAUCGCCCGUCGCUUUCAUUACUAAGGUGAAAUAAGUCGUAACAAAGUAAUUUUACUGGAAAGUGAAGUUAGAUUUAAA